rnacentral:rRNA from 1 species
GACGAACCGUGCGAACGUUAUUCGGAAUCACUGGGCUUAAAGCGCGUGUAGGCGGGAGGGCACGUCCGUCGCUGAAAUCCCCCGGCUCAACCGGGGAACGGGCGCGGAUACGACCUUCCUGGAGGGGCGUAGGGGGACCUGGAACUUCCGGUGGAGCGGUGAAAUGCGUUGAGAUCGGAAGGAACGCCCGUGGCGAAAGCGAGGUCCUGGACGCCUACUGACGCUGAGGCACGAAAGCGUGGGGAGCAAACAGG